UACGGAGGAUGCAAGCGUUAUCCGGAAUGAUUGGGCGUAAAGCGUCCGCAGGUGGCUGUGUAAGUCUGCUGUUAAAGAGUCUAGCUCAACUAGAUACAAGCAGUGGAAACUACACGGCUAGAGUGCGUUCGGGGCAGAGGGAAUUCCUGGUGUAGCGGUGAAAUGCGUAGAGAUCAGGAAGAACACCGGUGGCGAAGGCGCUCUGCUAGGCCGCAACUGACACUGAGGGACGAAAGCUAGGGGAGCAAACGGG
rnacentral:rRNA from 1 species